rnacentral:rRNA from 1 species
GAUUUCUGGCUUGAAACAUUUUGCCGGCCACGGUUUCGUGUGUUAGUGCUUGAUGUUCUGGCCAUCCUUCCAAUCGCCAUCGGCUUAUCUUCAUUGAUCGGUCGGUGGUAUUGGAUCUUUUACUUUGAAAAAAUUAGAGUGUUUCAAGCAGGCUUUAUGCUAUGAAUACAUUAGCAUGGAAUAAUAAUUUAGGACUUUGGCCCUAUUUUGUUGGUUUCUAGGACUGAAGUAAUGAUUGAUAGGGAUAGUUGGGGGUGCUCGAAUUCAGCGGCCAGAGGUGAAAUUCUUGGAUUCGCUGAAGACGAACUCAUGCGAAAGCAUU